rnacentral:sRNA from 1 species
CGUUACCUUAUGGUAACCAAUCAAUGUUCCAGCAAUCUGAGAGGAACGCCUUUGGGUGAUUGCAAAUAUCAAUGUUCUAGUAGUCUGAGAGGAACGCUUUCGGGUGACUGCACCAUCUGCCACACCUGAAAAGGCAGACAGUAAACACUCUGGGUAAAC